rnacentral:tRNA from 1 species
AGGGGGAUAGCUCGGUGGUAGAGCAGGUGCUUAGCAUGCAUGAGGUCCUAGGUUCAAUCCCCAGUCCCUCCA